CCGAUAUUCAGCCCAGCAGCACACGAGGGGAUGUAACGUCUUCAUCCGAUGAGGAGGAUAGCGAAGCGAACAAAAACAGUCCUCCGUCUGGCUCACUUCUGGAUAAUUUGGAGCUGGACCAACCAUUGAGCAUUCCUGAAAUAAUUCCCGAAACUGAAGAGCAAAGCAAUCUACAAGUAGGAAAUCAAGUUGAAACUGGAGACACCUCUUUUGUUGUUGUAAAUUCGCAGGAGUUAAAUGAUUUACGGCUGUUGAUUUCAAGGACAACGCAAAGUGUGCUAACUUUGUUGGAAAAGCAGGCUGAAG